GGCUCAGUAACACGUGGCUAACCUACCCUCGGGUGGGGGAUAACCUCGGGAAACUGAGGAUAAUACCCCAUAGGAGAAGAGGUCUGGAAUGAUCCUUCUCUGAAAACAUAUGUGCCCGAGGAUGGGGCUGCGUCUGAUUAGGUAGUUGGUGGGGUAACGGCCCACCAAGCCUACGAUCAGUACGGGCCUUGAGAGAGGCAGCCCGGAGAUGGGGACUGAGACACGGCCCCAGGCCCUACGGGGCGCAGCAGGCGCGAAACCUCCGCAAUGCACGAAAGUGCGACGGGGGGACCCCAAGUGCUUACGCACUGCGUAGGCUUUUCUAAAGUGUAAAAAGCUUUAGGAAUAAGGGCUGGGCAAGUCCGGUGCCAGCAGCCGCGGUAACACCGGCGGCCCGAGUGGUGACCACUUUUAUUGGGCCUAAAGCGUCCGUAGCCGGUCCAGUAAGUCCCUGUUUAAAUCCUGCGGCUUAACCGUAGGGCUGGCAGGGAUACUGCUGGACUUGGGACCGGGAGAGGGCGAGGGUACUUCAGGGGUAGCGGUGAAAUGUGUUGAUCCCUGGAGGACCACCUAUGGCGAAGGCACUCGCCUGGAACGGGU
rnacentral:rRNA from 1 species